ACGGAGGGUGCGAGCGUUAUCCGGAUUCACUGGGUUUAAAGGGUGCGUAGGCGGGUUAGUAAGUCAGUGGUGAAAUCCCCGAGCUUAACUUGGGAACUGCCGUUGAUACUAUUAGUCUUGAAUAUCGUGGAGGUAAGCGGAAUAUGUCAUGUAGCGGUGAAAUGCUUAGAUAUGACAUAGAACACCAAUUGCGAAGGCAGCUUGCUACACGAUUAUUGACGCUGAGGCACGAAAGCGUGGGGAUCAAACAGGAUUAGAUACCCUGGUAGUCCACGCCCUAAACGAUGAUUACUCGACAUCAGCGAUACACUGUUGGUGUCUAAGCUAACGCAUUAAGUAAUCCACCUGGGAAGUACGAUCGCAAGAUUG
rnacentral:rRNA from 1 species